AUCUCCUGCAUCACUCAUUACCAUUGCCAAACCGUUGCUGGCUCUUGAAAUGAGAUUACCAUGAUUAUCAAAGAGGAAUCAGGCAGGAUUUGUCCCAGUUUGUCCCUGAGGGUGAGGAUCCCAGCACAUGGCCUUAUGGUGAGGGCUGUAUAUUAAGGUCUGUGUAUCUGAACGUUUAGGAUUUGCCAGCCAGGAAUAAGAGGGGAAUAGCUGAGAGUAUCUAUGGUACUAUCUUUUAGAAAGACUCUCUUGGAUGGCUGGGCGCAGUGGCUCAUGCCUGUAAUCCCAGCACUUUGAGAGGCCAAGACCGGCUGAUCACUUGAGGCCAGGAGUUCGAGACCAGCUUGGCCAACAUGGCAAAACCCUGUCCCUACUAAAAAUGCCAAAAAAUUAGCUGGGCAUGGCGACAUGUGCCUGUAAUCCCAGCUGCUCAAGAGACGGAGGCAAGAGAAUCACUUCAA
rnacentral:lncRNA from 10 species